UGCGGGCGGCGGACGGCGGUGCUGAGCGCAGCCUGCGGGCUGGCGGCCAGGAUAGGAACUGCGAGAUCCGCCUCGGAGGAGGAGGCGGGGGGAGUCUGAGCAACAGGACGAGUGGGAGAGCGCGAGCUAGGGUUUCAGCUCAUUUUAUACCAUGGGAACGCGAUGCUAACCAUCGGAUCGGAGAUGGACGGUCGAGAAUGAUUAGGCCGGGUAGGCCAAGCCCAAAACGGCCCAUAUUUAUCUCAACUCAUUGUUUUUCUUUUUUUUUUCAAUUUAAAGCACUCUGGUGAAGUAACUUGCAAAAAAGGACAUCUUAAAUAGGCAAUACACUUUUGAAAUGUACUAGACAAUAUCUAAGUUGCCAUGUAGAAGUUUCAAUAAUUUUUUGAACAGAUUUAGUAUUUUCUACCAUUUAAAUGAAUUUCUGCAUGCUUAUUGAAAGUAAUUACUAUUUGAACUACAAGUAUCUCAAAUAAUACCUAAAAAAAUCCCAAAAAAUAUAUUUAAGCAAACAUAUACAAUUUUAUACUAUAUCCUAAAAAACAAAUGAAUGAUUCAAAUGUUUGUUAGAGAUAAUUUAAACUUCUAUGCACAAAUUUAUUGAAAAUAAAAUUAAUAAUAUCCAAAUUUGGUCAGAAGCUUAUGUUGACCAUAAUAAUAGAAAUUAUGAAGUUAAAUUAGUUAUUGUUAUGUAAAAAUAUGUAUUUCUAUUCUAUGCUUAAAUGAAAGAAAACAAGCUAUAUGAAGAAGAUUCAAGAAAUCAUAAUUGACUUACAAAAAAUGCAAUUACACGAAAGAACAUGAUUUUAGAAAAAUUUAGGAAAAAGAACCAUCAAAUUUGGAGUCUAUACGAGGGAAAAAUACCAGUUACAAAUUUUAAUUCCGAAUUAAAAAGAGAAAUAUCACAUAUAGUUGUGUUCUUCACAUCACCCACGUGGCACAAUAGUAAAAACAAUUUUGAUGCUCAACGCAGUCAUUAAAGACUGUGUCUUACGGUGGUAGUGCCCGGUCUUUACCUCAGGCAGGUCGCAGGUUCGAUUGCCAUGGAGCACAAGUUGUUUUUAUUUUCCAGAAAAACGAUGACCAUUAUGUACUAAACCAUCUAAUGCACUUUAUUAACACAAGUGCUUUACAAGUCCAGUGGUUAGGCGGCAGUGCUGUAAUCCAUGAUGGCCUGUGUUGGAGCCCGCUUUUAGGCAGAUUUUUUUAAUUUUUUCACUUUUUUUCACACUUGAGCCAGUAGCCCAGGUUCGAAUUACGUACCUACCACUUAUUUUUUCCCUCCAUUUUUGCUCUUAUUUACAAUUACGCUAACUAUUAGAUGCAUGGUGUAGUGGUUUGGCAUGUUGUGUUCCAAUUUAUCUCAAUCCUGUAUAAAAAAGUUUAUAAUGUUAAUGAUUAACACAACCGGUGUCAUAGUCCAGUGGUGAGACACUUGAAUCCGUAUUGUGAGGUGGCAGGUCGAUUCUCUGCCACUCAACCUUUUAUCUCAUUUUUGGACUAAAUGUAUACGUUCAUUAGAAUAUAAAAUAUCUUAUGGCCAAAUGAAACAAAAGCAAGGCCCAGCGCAGUGGUAGAACUGCUCUCCAAGAAGCUCAGCUUCCGCGGUUCGACUCUCCAGCGCCACUUUUUCCGACUCCCAUUUGUGUCAAUGUUUUUGCUCUCUUUUCUUUUUCAGGUUUUGCUAUGAAUAAAAUUUAAUGUAACACAUAAACUCAACUUUACCUAAAGCGCAGUGAUUCCAAUGUAACUACACUACUAGCUGAAUGGUACGGCACUUCCAUGGCGGGCUGCAGUCCAAGGUUCGAACCCCCUUUGCCCCUUGCUGUGCCACUUUUUUUUUUUUUAACAGGGCAUGAGAUAUAUAAAGGGCCCCUUGCUGUGCCACUUUUUUUUUUUAACAGGGCAUGAGAUGUAUAAAGGGACUAUGACAAUUUCUGUGACACCCCCUUGCCGUGCCACUUUUUUUAACAGGGCAUGAGAUAGUAUAAAAACUUAAAUACCAACUACGUCACAGGUUAUUUGCGACGGAUUUACUAAAAUGUCACAGAUUAUGGGCUGCUUCAUGACGAAAUCAACAAAAUGUCACUGUGUUAUGGGCCUUAUAUCCAUAUUGCAUAUUCAUGACGAUCUCUGAAAACGUUACAAAAAUUUCGUCAGAAUUCGUCACAGAUUAAAUGGUUUCUUGUAGUGCUUUUAAAGCAGAUAAAAAUGAUCUGAAGCUCAAUCUUGGUGUUGGUGCCUAUAGAAUAGAAGAAUUGUAGCCCUAUGUCCUCUGUGUAGUCAAGAAGGCUGAAAAUCUUAUGUUGGAGAAAGGAGAAAACAAAGAGUAUCUUCGUAUUAAAGGCUUAACAGCAUUUACCAAAGCAACUGCAGAGCUACUCCUUGGAGCUGACAACCCCGUCAUCAAGCAAGGACUGUUUCUGUAGCAAGUCAUCAACAAUAUGGAGUAGAGGAAGAGGACAUGGAUCUGGAGUUCUAGACAGUUUAUAAAUCAAAUGUCACAAGAACAAAUCUACAACUAUAGGGUUAAAGCAGCAGUGUACAUUCUUUUAGACAGUGAAAAAGUAUGGAGAUGCCCACGCCGAGAGAAACAUGCACUGCAUGAAGACCUCUUCCUUAUCCAUUGCUAAAAGAAUAAACUUUGGGACAUGCUCUGGUCAUGCUUUGGAAUUACACUUUGCAUCCGUAAAGGGAUCUUUGUGUUUGCGGUUUUGCCGUCCGAUUCAAAAGUAAAUGGAACAAAAAGUAAGUUUCAACUCUGGUUAAUAUUCUCUCUUUGUUGCAGGCGUACCUCAAAUACCACUAGAGGCCUCAAAAGAAAUGCUACAAUGGGCGCUGGAUUUGCUGCAACAGAUGAGUACUCACUCUGUGUGUUGUUAUAUACAUUUAGCUGAAAUGUGGCUAAACCAAUAGGUGGUUACAUUACCUUUUUACGAUAGACUGAUAUUGUCUAUCUAUAAUACACUGAUGAUUGUAAGUUAGAGAUGGUAUACUUUCCAUAAGUCACUGCAUAUUUCGAAGACAAUAAUUAAUAAUAGCUUUCAUUUAGCCCAAUUUUCAACCAGUCUAUGCAAUGAUCUACAGGUGGAUCAGUCAACUUUAGGACAUAUGUAUCCCACUGUGCUCUGCAAUGGUCCAUAGUUGUACUUAUUAGCAAGAGUGAUUACCUGCUGACUAACCGUCUAAUAUAAACUGAUGUUUUGAGAUAUCUCUAAAAACUCAUUGGUAUUUCUCUAUUGUAUAAAAAAUAUGAUAUAGAUUUUAUAUUAUUGCAGCUGAAGGAAUUGCACUAUGAAAUUGAUGAUUGAAAAGCACGGGCAAUCAAGUAUUUACUAGAUAUGCUAAUUACUUCACUUCUUGAUAGGAUCAAGUUGUUAUUUUAUUUGAUCGGGCAAACCAGCACACACAUGCUGUAUCUGAAAUUUUUUUAAAACAGCACAGAAGGGAGAAGGUACAGUACCCCAGUGCACACACACAGUAUCUGAAAAAACAUUUGUUUAAGAUUUUUUAAUGUUGUACAACUUUUUCUCAUAACAUUAUCUAGUAAUUCAUUUUUCCCCAGCAUGUGCCUGACACACUUUUUUCUAUUUUUUUCUCUCGCAGCCAUUGGUAAAAAGGCAAAAACAAGGUCAAGCAGAAUUCAAGGAAAACAAAUUCUUUUUUUAUUUCUUUUUUGUUUGGUAAAAAAAUAUCUUAUUGUAUCGUGAGUUAAAACAAAAAGUUAAUCACUACCCCUGUAAAGUUUUGUUCGAUAGUUUUUAUUUUGUGACAGUAAUCUUUUUCCCUCUUUUACGUUUAAUUGUUAGUUUUACCUUUUUAUUAUCUAUCUUCAAAGUUUUCUGUCUAAAACUUUUCCACCACCUCUUUUUAAGCUCGAAAUAUUUUUUUACUCAAUAUAUUUUUUACUCAAAAUAAAAUAUUUUUCUAGCACACAUUUUUCUUAAAUAAUUGUUUUCUCAAAAAAUUUCGAUAUAUAUGUUUCCAUUUACAAUUUUUUUUGUUAAAACAUUUUCCAACAAAAACUUUUAAUAAUAUGCUUUUUCUAAGCGCUAAUGUCAAAAGUUUUUACAAGUAAUUAAAUUUUCCAAUAAAUUUAUAUUAUUCUUUCCAAUUUUUUCAAUAUAAUAUUUUGUUAAAAGUUACUUUUAUUUUCACUCCCCCCACCCAUAUUUUACACCCAAUUAUCCCACAUCCCUAAAAAAAUGGCUUCUGAAAAAUGUUCUCCGUUCACGUUGGUCCCACAACUAAUUUUUGUUUUCGCGCGUGCUCAGGAUUUGCAGGAAAGCCAAACGUGAAUAGGGAAAGGGAAUUAAUAUGGCAUCCACACAUAUGCCAAAAAUGGAAAGGUGGGCAUGUCGGAGAUCGACCGGACGUUGGGAAUUGGCCGGAACAGUGGUGGUGGGGGCCGCUACCAUUUAAUGCAAUCCGUCAGCAGCAGCCAAUAAAAACUAGGCAAACGGUGGGGACACCGCGGCAACACAGCCUAUGUCACCCGCUUGAGCCGGCGUCGCCCAACUCGCCCAGUUUCUUCUCUUUCUUACGCUCUCUCUUCCAUAUUGGAUUUAGCCAGCUCAAUCCAGCUCUUCACCACUUAUAAUACUUGCUCUUAAUAUGAGACACUGCACUGUGGUAACAGCUGAUCCUGAAUUCUUAAUACAAAGAUCCAUACUAUGAUUUUUUUAACAUAUUGUAGCUAAUAAGUACUUCGCCGAUACUAGGACGAAUCAGGAGACACUGCAGCUCUAGCAACAGCUGAUCCUGAUACAAAGAUCCAUACUGUGAUUUGUUAAUACUUCCUCUGUUUUUAUUUACAUGUCGUAUUAGAUUUGUCUUAAGUUAAACUUGGCAAAUCUUGACCAAAUUUAUAGAAAAAUAAUAACAUUUUCAGUACCGAAUUUGUUUUUUUUUUGAAUUCAUCAUGAAAUAUAUGUUCAUAGUGCAUAGGUUGGAUAGUAUAGUUGUUGCUAUAUUUUCUAUAAACUUGAUCAAAGUUAGUCAAAUUUGACUUAGGACAAGUCUAAUACGACAUAUAAACAAAAAUGGAGGGAGUAUAUUAUUGUUGCUAAUAAGUACGCCUAAGCAUCGAGAGGUUUGCUCACAAGCCAAAGCCAUGACUGAGAGCAAGUUUAAUAAUAAAGUAUUUGACUAUUAGCCAAUUUAUAAGAGCCAAGCUAUAUUUGAGGACCAAUGAUGGUCACUCUUGGAUGAUGAGUGAUUGACAAUAUCGUGUGAAUUUGAUAUAUCUCUUGGCUUGUGAUGUGCAGGUGUAAGAUGCAGCAUGGCGGUCGACGGCGCGUGGUGAAGAUCAGGCGAAAGAUUCAUGCUGAAGUACCGUGGUGAACGAUGGACGCGAGUAGGCUCGGAGAAGUGAAAGGUUCAUGCCGAGGGAUCAAGACAGUGAAGGGUGGAUGCGAGUAGGCCUGUACCGAGGGACCCGAAGAGGUCGUGCGGAGCCUUGGGCGGUCCACACGGUGCACGGAAGAGCAAGGGUACAUGGUGAUGAAGACGGCGUCGGCCAAGUCGGCGAGGAUGAUGGCGAGUCAAGUAGGCGGCUAGUGCGGCGGGCGCAUGUGAACGACUCGAAGGCGUCAAGACUCGGCGGGAGGUCGGAUAUGCGUCGACAUCGGCGGUUUAACCGGUUUGGCCUCAAAACCGGGAAGUCAGUCACGUCGUGCGGUGACGUGUGAGAGGGUUUGACCGGUUUGGCCUCAAAACCGGGGGAGACGGGUUUGACCAAUUUGAGCCUCAAAUCCGAGGGCGGACUUGACGCGAUCAAAGUCCGGGUGGAGGGCACGUGGCGCCAUCGCGAAGCUUGCGUCGAGGCGAAGCAAAAUCGUGAAGGCGGCGUGUCCUUUCGGUGCUACUAGAAAAAGAUGGACAAAUUUGUUCAUGUGUGGACGGAUAUUGUAAUAAAUAGCGAGAGGGUAUUUUAGUCUUUCGCACGACUAUAUAUAGAGAGGCAUGGCUAGCGGACGAGUUAGCUCUUGAACCCUAAUUCAUUUGCUCCUCUAAUUUUUGUGGAUUAGAGUUUAUUGGAGAUUUUGUUGUGAAAGGAGGCCCGAACCUCUUGUGCCCUUCGAGCGUCAAGAUCUGAGUAAUUGUUGAGUUCA